rnacentral:rRNA from 1 species
UAAUACGGGGGGAACGAGCGUUGUUCGGAUUUACUGGGCGUAAAGGGCACGCAGGCGGGGAGACAAGUCAGAUGUGAAAACCCAAAGCUUAACUCUGGGCCUGCAUUUGAUACUGUUUCUCUUGAGUACGGGAGAGGAUAGCGGAAUUCUUGGUGUAGCGGUGAAAUGCGUAGAUAUCAAGAAGAACACCGGUGGCGAAGGCGGCUAUCUGGCCCGAUACUGACGCUCAUGUGCGAAGGCAAGGGGAGCAAACAGG